GAUGAACGCUGGCGGCGUGCUUAACACAUGCAAGUCGAACGAAGAUGCCGGAGUGCUUGCACUUUGGCAGACUGAGUGGCGGACGGGUGAGUAACGCGUGGGUAACCUGCCUUAUACAGGGGGAUAACAGUUGGAAACGACUGCUAAUACCGCAUAAGCGCACGGUAUCGCAUGAUACAGUGUGAAAAACUCCGGUGGUAUAAGAUGGACCCGCGUCUGAUUAGCUAGUUGGUGAGGUAACGGCCCACCAAGGCGACGAUCAGUAGCCGGCCUGAGAGGGUGAACGGCCACAUUGGGACUGAGACACGGCCCAGACUCCUACGGGAGGCAGCAGUGGGGAAUAUUGCACAAUGGGGGAAACCCUGAUGCAGCGACGCCGCGUGAGUGAUGAAGUAUUUCGGGUAUGUAAAACUCGUAUCAGCAGGGAAGAUAAUGACGGUACCUGACUAAGAAGCACCGGCUAAAUA
rnacentral:rRNA from 1 species